GAUGAACGCUGGCGGCGUGCCUAAUACAUGCAAGUCGAGCGAACGGACGAGAAGCUUGCUUUUCUGAUGUUAGCGGCGGACGGGUGAGUAACACGUGGAUAACCUACCUAUCAGACUGGGAUAACUUCGGGAAACCGGAGCUAAUACCGGAUAAUAUUUUGAACCGCAUGGUUCAAAAGUGAAAGACGGUCUUGCUGUCACUUAUCGAUGGAUCCGCGCUGCAUUAGCUAGUUGGUAAGGUAACGGCUUACCAAGGCAACGAUGCAUGGCCGACCUGAGAGGGUGAUCGGCCACACUGGAACUGAGACACGGUCCAGACUCCUACGGGAGGCAGCAGUAGGGAAUCUUCCGCAAUAGGCGAAAGCCUGACGGAGCAACGCCGCGUGAGUGAUGAAGGUCUUCGGUUCGUAAAACUCUGUUAUUAGGGAAGAACAGAUGUGUAAGUAACUGUGCACAUCUUGACGGUACCUAAUCAGAAAGCCACGGCUAACUACGUG
rnacentral:rRNA from 1 species